rnacentral:rRNA from 1 species
GAUGAACGCUGGCGGCGUGCCUAAUACAUGCAAGUCGAGCGAACAGACGAGGAGCUUGCUCCUCUGACGUUAGCGGCGGACGGGUGAGUAACACGUGGAUAACCUACCUAUAAGACUGGGAUCACUUCGGGAAACCGGAGCUAAUACCGGAUAAUAUAUUGAACCGCAUGGUUCAAUAGUGAAAGACGGUUUUGCUGUCACUUAUAGAUGGAUCCGCGCCGCAUUAGCUAGUUGGUAAGGUAACGGCUUACCAAGGCAACGAUGCGUAGCCGACCUGAGAGGGUGAUCGGCCACACUGGAACUGAGACACGGUCCAGACUCCUACGGGAGGCAGCAGUAGGGAAUCUUCCGCAAUGGGCGAAAGCCUGACGGAGCAACGCCGCGUGAGUGAUGAAGGUCUUCGGAUCGUAAAACUCUGUUAUUAGGGAAGAACAAAUGUGUAAUUAACUAUGCACGUCUUGACGGUACCUAAUCAGAAAGCCACGGCUAACUACGUG